rnacentral:rRNA from 1 species
GACGAACGCUGGCGGCGUGCCUAAUACAUGCAAGUCGAGCGAAUCACUGGGAGCUUGCUCCCGGUGGUUAGCGGCGGACGGGUGAGUAACACGUGGGCAACCUGCCUGUAAGACUGGGAUAACACCGGGAAACUGGUGCUAAUACCGGAUAAUCCUUUCCUGCACAUGCAGGAAAGCUGAAAGUCGGUUUCGGCUGACACUUACAGAUGGGCCCGCGGCGCAUUAGCAAGUUGGUGAGGUAACGGCUCACCAAGGCGACGAUGCGUAGCCGACCUGAGAGGGUGAUCGGCCACACUGGGACUGAGACACGGCCCAGACGCCUACGGGAGGCAGCAGUAGGGAAUCUUCCACAAUGGACGAAAGUCUGAUGGAGCAACGCCGCGUGAGCGAUGAAGGCCUUCGGGUCGUAAAGCUCUGUUGUUAGGGAAGAACAAGUACCGGAGUAACUGCCGGUACCUUGACGGUACCUAACCAGAAAGCCACGGCUAACUACGUGCCAGCCGCCGCAGUAA